GACGAACGCUGGCGGCGUGCUUAACACAUGCAAGUCGAACGGAAAGGCCCUGCUUUUGUGGGGUGCUCGAGUGGCGAACGGGUGAGUAACACGUGAGUAACCUGCCCUUGACUUUGGGAUAACUUCAGGAAACUGGGGCUAAUACCGGAUAGGAGCUCCUGCUGCAUGGUGGGGGUUGGAAAGUUUCGGCGGUUGGGGAUGGACUCGCGGCUUAUCAGCUUGUUGGUGGGGUAGUGGCUUACCAAGGCUUUGACGGGUAGCCGGCCUGAGAGGGUGACCGGCCACAUUGGGACUGAGAUACGGCCAAGACCCCUACGGGGGGCAGCAGGGGGGAAUAGUGAAAAAGGGGGGGAAGCCUGAUGCAGCAACGCCGCGUGGGGGAGGACGGCCUUGGGGUGGUAACCCGCUUCCGCCUGUGACGAAGGGUGAGGGACGGUAAGGGGUAAAGAAGCCCGGGCUAACUACGUG
rnacentral:rRNA from 1 species